UGUUCUGUCGAGGGGUGCAAACCCAUUGGUUUGCUGAGAUCAUACCCGUUUAACCUGAUGCAGAUAAUGCUGCCGUAGGGAAUGUGAAACGACAUCUGA
rfam:Prevotella sp. S7-1-8 contig031, whole genome shotgun sequence.